rnacentral:rRNA from 1 species
UACGAAGGGGGCUAGCGUUGCUCGGAAUCACUGGGCGUAAAGCGCACGUAGGCGGCUUCUCAAGUCAGGGGUGAAAUCCUGGAGCUCAACUCCAGAACUGCCUUUGAUACUGAGGGGCUCGAGUCCGGGAGAGGUGAGUGGAACUGCGAGUGUAGAGGUGAAAUUCGUAGAUAUUCGCAAGAACACCAGUGGCAAAGGCGGCUCACUGGCCCGGUACUGACGCUGAGGUGCGAAAGCGUGGGGAGCAAACAGG